rnacentral:rRNA from 1 species
CUACGUAGGGAGCGAGCGUUGUCCGGAAUUACUGGGCGUAAAGGGCGCGUAGGCGGCGCUUCAAGUCGUCUGUCAAAUGGGAGGGCUUAACCCUUUUUCGCAGACGAAACUGGAGAGCUUGAGAAGCAGAGAGGCAAACAGAAUUCCUGGUGUAGCGGUGAAAUGCGUAGAUAUCAGGAAGAAUACCAGUGGCGAAGGCGGUUUGCUGGCUGCAUACUGACGCUGAAGCGCGAAAGCCAGGGGAGCAAACGGGAUUAGAUACCCCGGUAGUCCUGGCAGUAAACGAUGUAUGCUGGGUGUGAGACUAGCGAUAGUUUCGUGCCGAAGUUAACGCGAUAAGCAUACCGCCUGGGGAGUACGGUCGCAAGAUUGAAACUCAAAGGAAUUGGCGGGG